rnacentral:rRNA from 1 species
GCGGUGGAGCUAUGUGGUUUAAUUCGAAGCAACGCGAAGACCUUACCAGGUCUUGACAUCCCUGACAACCCAAGAGAUUGGGCGUCCCCUUCGGGGGACAGGGUGACAGGUGGUGCAUGGUUGUCGUCAGCUCGUGUCGUGAGAUGUUGGGUUAAGUCCCGCAACGAGCGCAACCCUCGCCUCUAGUUGCCAGCAUUCGGUUGGGCACUCUAGAGGGACUGCCGGCGACAAGUCGGAGGAAGGUGGGGAUGACGUCAAAUCAUCAUGCCCCUUAUGACCUGGGCUACACACGUGCUACAAUGGGCGGUACAAAGGGCUGCGAACCCGCGAGGGGGAGCGAAUCCCAAAAAGCCGCUCUCAGUUCGGAUUGCAGGCUGCAACUCGCCUGCAUGAAGCCGGAAUCGCUAGUAAUCGCGGAUCAGCAUGCCGCGGUCGAAUACGUUCCCGGGCCUU